GGAAGAGGCUCUUGUUUUUCCGUAAAAGCAAAAGUCGCCACUUGAAGAAAAUGGCAAGGCAACAACGAUCGUCACCACUUCCACUAUUGGGAGGAGGCUUAUCACCGCCACCACCAUUGAUUGAUGGUGAUAGGAAUGACAAUAAUGCUAAUAGUUUGAGUGUGGGAAUGGUGGGGAAAGGAAAGAAGAAGGUUGGAGCUGUGAAGCUGUGGAUGAGGUUUGAUAAGUUUGGGAAUUCAGAGAUAACGGAAUGUGACAAAAGCACCAUAAUUAAGCGUGCGGCAAUCCCCUCGAGGGAUUUGAGGAUGCUCAGUUCUGUCUUCUCUCAAUCCUCCAAUAUUCUUGCCAGGGAAAAGGCCAUGGUUAUCCAGUUGGAGUUUAUCAGGGCUAUAGUUACUGCUGAUGAAGUCUUGAUUUUGGAUCCUCUCCGUCAAGAAGUUCUUCCAUUUGUUGAACGGCUAAGGCAACAACUUCCUCAUAAAAGCCUAACGAACAUCCAGGGAGCUGACCAUACAGAUGUGAAAAGUAAUGAAAUGCAUGUUUCAACUAGUGGAAAAUGGUUGCCAGUUCCAGAAGCUGUU
rnacentral:misc_RNA from 1 species